AGUUUGAUGUUUAUGUUGACUGGUGGUAAUGGAUUGAUAUGGGUUGUGGGUGCCGUCAAUUGGAACUAUCUAUAUAGUGCUAAUAUACAUUGUAACUUAAUGGUUGGUUGCAAUUUCGUGGAGCAUAUUUGUAGCUUUAGAUUUGAUAUACAAUGUCAUAGUGUUCAGUUUUUUGUUUGUCUUAUAUGUUUGCAGACUUGGAAUUAAGUUUAGUUCUGUUAGUGUAGAACAGCAAGUAAGAGUUUGUUUUUAAGUGAAAUUAUGUUUACCAUAGUGGUUUAGAUUAUGGAAAAUCAUACAGGAGGAGAAAAAGAAGUACAAUGAUCUUGAUUUCUACUCUUGCAUCUUUGUAGGGAUCACUAUGAGCUGAGAAGACUAAUUGUGCUAAACAUAUUCCAAUGAGUGAGCUGAUGGAUGGGUCUGAACCUACUAUUGAGAUAAAAAUAAAGACAUUGGAUUGCAAACCUAUACUCUCAAAGAGCAUAAAGAGAAGCAAUUUCUUGCACGGAGAGCACUUCUCAUGGGUGGUGUCAUGAAGGGACUUGUUCAUGUGACAGAUUGUGGUAUUUUUCUCAAGGGAAACACUAUUGAGCAAUGGAGCAAAUGUGUGUAUUAAAGCCAAUGAACCAGUCCUCGGUAGUUUACUUUCUCAUUACAAGUUUAUGCUGCUUGCUAAGAUCUGUCAUGUUUGAUUUCAUUAUCUGAUGGUGUUCGAUAUGGUGAUUGGUGGUUGUUUGGCUUUCAAUGAGAGUUCGAGUACAAGGAUAACGGCUCCACCAACAAUGCGGUUAUGGAUUGGAUUCAUGGCUCGAGUUACUGAACUAAUUUUAGCAACUUUCUAUUUAAACAGUCAACUUCCUGACUUCCUUGGGGGAGAUUGCUCAUGUCCAAAUGAAGGCGGGUGCUUAGGUCUGCAAGGGACCCUGGAAUUAUCCAGAAAUUAUGAAAGUAUGAUU